rnacentral:misc_RNA from 1 species
GUACAAGUUAAGUUAUCAGUGCCUGUAAAUAAUUCAGGCAGGCACAAUCACUACUGUGAAACUAUAUUUUAAAAAGAACUCUAGCCCUAAUGAUACUUUCUAAUUUCUAUAUCAAAGUUGUCUGCAUCCUUGACCGACUCAAAUAACAGAACCAAAGGCAAGCUGGAAUUGAGCAGUAUCCAUUGGCUUUGGAUUAGAAGCAUUAGCAAGACCUCCAAGAAGUUUAAGAACAUCAGCAGUAUCAUCAAGGUAAUACUUGGCUUUGCUUGGCUUCUGCCCGACGGUGCAGGCAAAGAUGUCAGGGGCAGCAUUGACCGACGAACUGGAAAUAGUGCUUAAUAUGCUCUCAAACAUGUCUUCAUCCGACCUGUCAUCUCCAAUGCACAUCACAAAAUCAGGCGGUUUCCCCCCAUCAAUCAUCAUAGAGAGAACUUUCGCAGCAACUAAUCCUUUGGUAACACCUUGCGGCUUGACUUCAACAAUAUGUUGACCCCUCUUAACAACUGCAGGUUCAUUUGCAAGUACACUUUCCAAAUGAUCCAACAAUUCCUUUGCCUGACAGGAGCCAAAGUCUG